UCCUUAAAAUGAAAAUGAAAUUAGAGUUCUGGAUCUGGAUCAAAGAUUUAAAGUGUCUGUUGUUGCUGACUCAGACAAAUAGAUAUGUGCUGAAAUUGUAUUGUGGCUGUUGCUUUCAUUAUUUUGUGAAUCAGCACUUAAAUUAUUUUUUAUGGUUCCUUUCAUUAGAACCCAACCACAUUUGCCGUACCUUUAGACUGGUCCUUUCCUAUGCAUAUUGUGGUUUAGAACUUGUUUGAACUGCUAUCUGUGUGGUUCAUUUUAUUUUUUGUUUGCUUUUUGGGAGAUAAAUUUGAACAAUCAAAAUAAUUUAGGUGCUGAUUCAACCUUGUUUAUUUUUAUUUUUAAUAUGACAGGUUAAAUUGAAUCAUCGG
rnacentral:misc_RNA from 1 species